GACGUAGGGCGCGAGCGUUGUCCGGAUUUAUUGGGCGUAAAGAGCUCGUAGGCGGCUCGUUGCGUCAACCGUGAAAACCCGGGGCUUAACUUCGGGCUUGCGGUUGAUACGGGCGGGCUGGAGUUCGGUAGGGGAGACUGGAAUUCCUGGUGUAGCGGUGAAAUGCGUAGAUAUCAGGAGGAACACCGGUGGCGAAGGCGGCUACCUGGACAGAGUCUGACGCUGAGGCGCGAAAGCUAGGGGAGCAAACAGG
rnacentral:rRNA from 1 species